rnacentral:rRNA from 1 species
CCCCUUCGGGGGACAGGGUGACAGGUGGUGCAUGGUUGUCGUCAGCUCGUGUCGUGAGGAUGUUGGGUUAAGUCCCGCAACGAGCGCAACCCUCGACCUUAGUUGCCAGCAUUCAGUUGGGCACUCUAAGGUGACUGCCGGCUAAAAGUCGGAGGAAGGUGGGGAUGACGUCAAAUCAUCAUGCCCCUUAUGACCUGGGCUACACACGUGCUACAAUGGGCGGUACAAAGGGUCGCGAACCCGCGAGGGGGAGCCAAUCCCAAAAAGCCGCUCUCAGUUCGGAUUGCAGGCUGCAACUCGCCUGCAUGAAGCCGGAAUCGCUAGUAAUCGCGGAUCAGCAUGCCGCGGUGAAUACGUUCCCGGGCCUU